GCUGUCUAGGCUGGGGUGGGGGAGCUGUGUUCCCAGAUAAUUGCCUGUGGUAGUUGUUAUGGAGAAGGAAGCCCAAGGUGCUUUGGCCCCUAGGAAGAGGACAGCACUGAACAAUAUCCGGAAACAGCACUUAUGAGCGGCAUAACCUUGGCCCAGUCUCUUGACUUCUCUGUGAGGCAGCCCAUCUGCAAAACAGGAGUAAUGGCAAUCCCUUCCUCCUAGAGUUGAUGUGAGCAUUAAACAGGACUGGACACAGUGGAAGCACUGUGGUCAUGUAUGGAUGUGAGAGUUGGACUAUAAAGAAAGCUGAGCACUGAAGAAUUGAUGCUUUUGAACUGUGCUGUUGGAGAAGACUCUUGAGAGUCCCUUGGACAGCAAGGAGAUCCAACCAGUCCAUCCUAAAGGAGAUCAAUUCAUCAGAAGGACUGGUGCUGAAGCUGAAACUCCAGUACUUUGGCCACCUGAUGUGAAGAACUGACUCAUUGGAAAAGACCCUGAUUCUGGGAAAGAUUGAAUGUGGGAAGAGAAGGGGAUGACAGAGGAUGAGAUGGUUGGAUGGCAUCACCAAGUCAAUGGAUAUGAGCUUGAACAAGCUCCAGGAGUUGAUGAUGGACAGAGAAGCCUGGUGUGCUGCAGUCCAUCGGGUCGAAAAGAGUCGGA
ensembl:lncRNA